CAUAUCAAUAAGCGGAGGAAAAGAAACCAACAGGGAUUGCCCCAGUAACGGCGAGUGAAGCGGCAACAGCUCAAAUUUGAAAUCUGGCCUCGGCCCGAGUUGUAAUUUGCAGAGGAUGCUUUCGGCGCGGCGCCUCCCGAGUCCCCUGGAACGGGGCGCCACAGAGGGUGAGAGCCCCGUAUGGUAGGACGCCUAGCCUGUAUAAAGCUCCUUCGACGAGUCGAGUAGUUUGGGAAUGCUGCUCAAAAUGGGAGGUAAAUUCCUUCUAAAGCUAAAUACCGGCCAGAGACCGAUAGCGCACAAGUAGAGUGAUCGAAAGAUGAAAAGCACUUUGAAAAGAGGGUUAAACAGCACGUGAAAUUGUUGAAAGGGAAGCGCUCGUGACCAGACUUGCGCCGGGUCGAUCAUCCGGUGUUCUCACCGGUGCACUCGGCCCGGCUCAGGCCAGCAUCGGUUUUCGCGGGGGGAUAAAAGCCCGGGGAACGUGGCUCUUACGGGAGUGUUAUAGCCCCGGGCACAAUACC
rnacentral:rRNA from 1 species